GCUGGCGGCGUGCUAACACAUGCAAGUCGAACGAGAAAGUGGAGCAAUCCAUGAGUACAGUGGCGACGGGUGAGUAACACGUGACUAACCUGCCCUCGAGUGGGGAAUAACUCCGGGAAACCGGAGCUGAUACCGCAUAACAUCGCAAGAUCAAAGCCGAAAGGCGCUUGAGGAGGGGGUCGCGGCUGAUUAGCUAGUUGGUAGGGUAACGGCCUACCAAGGCUGAGAUCGGUAUCCGGCCUGAGAGGGCGCACGGACACACUGGAACUGAAACACGGUCCAGACUCCUACGGGAGGCAGCAGUGGGGAAUUUUGCGCAAUGGGGGAAACCCUGACGCAGCAACGCCGCGUGGAGGAUGAAGUCCCUUGGGACGUAAACUCCUUUCGACCCGGACGAUACUGACGGUACGGGUGGAAGAAGCACCGGCUAACUCUGUGCCAGCAGCCGCGGUAAUACAGAGGGUGCGAGCGUUGUUCGGAAUUAUUGGGCGUAAAGGGCGCGUAGGCGGUGCGGUAAGUCACCUGUGAAAUCUCCCGGCUCAACUGGGAGC
rnacentral:rRNA from 1 species